rnacentral:rRNA from 1 species
AAAGUUUGAUCCUGGCUCAGGACGAACGCUGGCGGCGUGCCUAACACAUGCAAGUCGAGCGGAGACAGUGAGUAGCUUGCUAUGAGCUGUUUUAGCGGCGGACGGGUGAGUAACGCGUGAGCAACCUUUCCCAGACAGGGGAAUAACACACCGAAAGGUGUACUAAUACCGCAUAAGACCACGGAAUCACAUGGUUCUGAGGUAAAAGAUUUAUCGGUUUGGGGUGGGCUCGCGUCCGAUUAGGUAGUUGGUGAGGUAG